AACGAACGCUGGCGGCAGGCUUAACACAUGCAAGUCGAACGGUUGUAGCAAUACAGCAGUGGCAGACGGGUGAGUAACACGUGGGAACCUUCCUAGGGGUACGGAACAACUCAGGGAAACUUGAGCUAAUACCGUAUACGUCCGUGAGGAGAAAGAUUUAUCGCCCUUAGACGGGCCCGCGUAGGAUUAGGUAGUUGGUGGGGUAAUGGCCUACCAAGCCUACGAUCCUUAGCUGAUCUGAGAGGAUGAUCAGCCACACUGGGACUGAGACACGGCCCAGACUCCUACGGGAGGCAGCAGUGGGGAAUCUUGGACAAUGGGCGCAAGCCUGAUCCAGCCAUGCCGCGUGAGUGAAGAAGGCCUUGGUUGUAA
rnacentral:rRNA from 1 species